rnacentral:rRNA from 1 species
CCUACGGGAGGCAGCAGUGGGGAAUAUUGCACAAUGGGGGAAACCCUGAUGCAGCGACGCCGCGUGAGUGAAGAAGUAAUUCGUUACGUAAAGCUCUAUCAGCAGGGAAGAAAUACUCACCUUACGGCCAGCAGACGGUACCUGAGUAAGAACCCCCGGCCAACUACGUACCAGCAGCCGCGGUAAUACGGAGGGGGCAAGCGUUAUCCGGAUUUAUUGGGUGUAAAGGGAGCGUAGGCGGUGGGCCAAGUGAGAGGUGAAAUGCCGAGGCUUAACUGCGGAACUGCCUUGGAAACUGGCGAGCUAGAGAGUGGGUGCGGUAGGCGGAAUGCAUGGUGUAGCGGUGAAAUGCGUAGAGAUCA